CUGAGGCUACAUGUGUGAGCCACCAUGACCAGCUUACCGGGAUGGAGACAACAGGAAGGAAGGAAGGAGGCCUUCCUGGUUACAGGUGGCCACAGGAGAAUAGGCAGCGGCCCAGGACGAUCCAGGGUCCCAGUGGUGGUUGAGAAGCUGGUUUUUAGUGAUCACUCAGGAACAUCGACCUGGCCUUGUGGGGUCAGACUUUGCAUCUCAGUCAUCCCAGGGAGAAGAAGAAGAUGGUCCACACCCAAGUGCAGGGAACGCCGUGGCAGUCGGCCGGGCACCCGCUUCCAGGCAAGGACACCUUCUGCAUCAAGGAAACACGUGUUUCCAGAGUGAGGAGGCUGAAGGCAGGGCCCAGAGGAGAGCCGAGCUAUGGAAGGAGGAGAAACCUGAAGAUCUGGGUCCAGAGCCUCAGAUCUUGCACUGGCAGCACACGGGGACACAGCAGGUGGACUGGCAGCAGCAGGGUUUGCAGCAGCUGGACUGGCAGCAGGAUGACCCACAACCU